rnacentral:tRNA from 1 species
AGCUUUAUAGUCAAAUAAAAAAAAUGACAUUAAAUUGCAAGUUUAAAAUUGGGAAAACCCUAAGGCUU